CCCCAUGCAGACUAUUAUCCUAACGGCACGGUGCGGACCUACUUGUUCGUUACGUCGCUUAUUCAAGUGCUCUGGGACACAGCUCGGGAUUCGAACAUCAGUUACCGGACCACUGUAAACCCAGUCAAUGUUUGGGGAAACCGACUGCCGAACGGCUCCUGGACGGGCUUCCUCGGAGAACUUCAGAGGAACGAAAGCGACGUGUCGUUCACGCUGUUCUCACCGACCGUCGACCGGCAACA